GUCGCCCAGCCAGUAUGGUCCCUCGGCUUGUAACCGAGUGGGUUCGGGUUCGAAUCCCGAGUAAGACA